AAACAUGGCCUUUAGUAAAAAUAUAAGGUCCAGCCUGCCCGCUGAAAGUUGAAGGGCCGCGGUAAUUUGACCGUGCAAAGGUAGCAUAAUCAUUAGUCUCUUAAUUAGGGGCUAGUAUGAACGGUUAGACGAAAUAAAAGCUGUCUCGUAAUAAAUGAUAAAUUUUACUUUUUAGUGAAAAGGCUGAAAUGCAAUUGGAGGACGAGAAGACCCUAUAGAUCUUAAUAUGAGGUAUUUUGUAUAUUCGGCCAAUGUAAGUGUAAGAAUUAUCAUAUUUAGUUGGGGUGACAAGAAAAUAAUUAAACUUUUUUUAUUUUUACACCAAUGAGUGAAUGAGAGAUCCAUUAUAAUGAUUAUAAGAUUAAGUUACCUUAGGGAUAACAGCAUAAUCUUUCUGGAGAGUCCUGAUCGAUAGAAAGGAUUGUGACCUCGAUGUUGGAUUAGAAUGGGGUUUAGGCGCAGAAGCUUAAGUUGCCAAGUCUGUUCGACUUUUAAAAUUCUACGUGAUCU
rnacentral:rRNA from 1 species